GGGUGCAAGGGCGAUCUGGCUGUGACAUCUGUACCCCAUUGAUCGCCAGGGUUGAUUCGGCUGAUCUGGCUGGCUAGGCUGGUGUCCCCUUCCUCCCUCAGCGAUCCGUGUGUGUCCCUCCCGAAGCUGCGCGCUCGGUCGAAGAGGACGACCACCCCGAUAGAGGAGGACCAUUCCUCGGUCAGGUAUACGAGUAGCUGAGCUCCUCUGCUGGAACCUCCAAACAAGCUCUCAAGGAAGGUGUCUCUUCCAGGGACUUUUGUAAAGUAAAACCAUGCGGGUCUAAGGUAGAGAACCU
rnacentral:snRNA from 1 species